GAUGAACGCUGGCGGCGUGCUUAACACAUGCAAGUCGAACGAUGAAGCCCAGCUUGCUGGGUGGAUUAGUGGCGAACGGGUGAGUAACACGUGAGUAACCUGCCCUUAACUCUGGGAUAAGCCUGGGAAACUGGGUCUAAUACCGGAUAGGAGCGUCCACCGCAUGGUGGGUGUUGGAAAGAUUUAUCGGUUUUGGAUGGACUCGCGGCCUAUCAGCUUGUUGGUGAGGUAAUGGCUCACCAAGGCGACGACGGGUAGCCGGCCUGAGAGGGUGACCGGCCACACUGGGACUGAGACACGGCCCAGACUCCUACGGGAGGCAGCAGUGGGGAAUAUUGCACAAUGAGCGAAAGCCUGAUGCAGCGACGCCGCGUGAGGGAUGACGGCCUUCGGGUUGUAAACCUCUUUCAGUAGGGAAGAAGCGAAAGUGACGGUACCUGCAGAAGAAGCACCGGCUAACUACGUG
rnacentral:rRNA from 1 species